rnacentral:rRNA from 1 species
AUUGAACGCUGGCGGCAGGCCUAACACAUGCAAGUCGAGCGAGCGGCGGACGGGUGAGUAAUGUAUGGGGACUGCCCGAUAGAGGGGGAUAACGACUGGAAACGGUGGCUAAUACCGCAUACUAUUGGAUAACCCAGAUGGGAUUAGCUAGUAGGUGGGGUAAAGGCUCACCUAGGCGACGCUCUCUAGCUGGUCUGAGAGGAUGAUCAGCCACACUGCGACUGAGACACGGCCCAGACUCCUCCGGACGCAGCAGUGGGGAAUAUUGCACAAUUGGCUCAAUCCUGAUGCAGCCAUGCCGCGUGUAUGACUAAGGCCUUAGGGUUGUAAAGUACUUUCAGCGUGGAGGCGUUACCCGCAGAAGAAGCACCGGCUAACUCCGUGCCAGCAGCCGCGGUAAUUC